GCAGCCGCGGUAAUACGUAGGUGGCAAGCGUUAUCCGGAUUUAUUGGGCGUAAAGGGUGCGCAGGCGGUCUAUUAAGUUUAGGGUGAAAGCGUUGAGCUCAACUCAAUACAGCCUUAAAAACUGAUAGACUAGAGUGCAGAAGAGGGUAGUGGAAUUCCAUGUGUAGCGGUAAAAUGCGUAGAUAUAUGGAGGAACACCAGUGGCGAAGGCGGCUACCUGGUCUGUAACUGACGCUCAGGCACGAAAGCGUGGGGAGCAAAUAGGAUUAGAUACCCC
rnacentral:rRNA from 1 species